UGGCAUGUAGCUCAGAUGGCAGAGCACCCGGCUGUUAACCGGGCGGUCGCAGGUUCGAUCUCUGCCGUGCCAGCCA
rnacentral:tRNA from 1 species